GCCCGUUUAGCUCAGUUGGUAGAGUUCAAGGCUCUUAACCUUGUGGUUGUGGGUGGUUACACGAGCCCCAUGGUGGGCG